rnacentral:rRNA from 1 species
AGUGAACGCUGGCGGUAGGCCUAACACAUGCAAGUCGAACGGCAGCACAGUAAGAGCUUGCUCUUACGGGUGGCGAGUGGCGGACGGGUGAGGAAUACAUCGGAAUCUACUUUUUCGUGGGGGAUAACGUAGGGAAACUUACGCUAAUACCGCAUACGACCUACGGUUGAAAGCAGGGGAUCUUCGGACCUUGCGCGAUUGAAUGAGCCGAUGUCGGAUUAGCUAGUUGGGGGGGUAAAGGCCCACCAAGGCGACGAGCCGUAGCUGGUCUGAGAGAAUGAUAGCCCCAGCUGGAACUCUAGGACGGUCCAGACUCCUACGAGGGGCAGCAGUGGCGAAUAUUGCACAAUGAACACAAGCCUGAUCCAGCCAUACCGCGUGGGUAACGAAAGCCUUCGGGUCGUAAAGCCCUUUUGUUGGGAAAGAAAAGCGGCCGCUUAAUACCCCGCUGUUCUGACGGUACCCAAAGAGUAAGCACCGGCUAACUUCGUG